rnacentral:tRNA from 1 species
AGGGGUGUCGCCAAGCGGUAAGGCACACGGCUCUGACCCGUGUAUCCAAGGUUCGAAUCCUUGCACCCCUGCCA